rnacentral:rRNA from 1 species
AGCAGCCGCGGUAAUUCCAGCUCCAAUAGCGUAUAUUAAAGUUGUUGCAGUUAAAAAGCUCGUAGUUGAAUUUCGGGGUUCUACCGUUGGUCGGGCUUUGUCUGUACUGGCGUGUAGAAUUUCUACCUUCUGGGGAACCAUCAUGUUAUUAAUUUAACGUGGUGGGAAACCAGGACCUUUACCUAGAAAAAAUUAGAGUGUUCAAAGCAGGCUUAUGUCUGAAUACAUUAGCAUGGAAUAAUAGAAUAGGACGGUGGUCCUGUUUUGUUGGUUUCUGAAUCACCGUAAUGAUUAAUAGGGAUAGUUGGGGGCAUUAGUAUUCAAUUGUCAGAGGUGAAAUUCUUGGAUUUAU